rnacentral:rRNA from 1 species
UACAGGGGGUGCAAACGUUGCUCGGAAUUAUUCGGCGUAAAGCGCGCGUAGGCGGCCACUUAAGUCGGAUGUGAAAGCCCCUGGCUCAACUGGGGAAGUGCACCCGAAACUGAAUGGCUUGAAUGCAAAAGAGGGUCGCGGAAUUCCCGGUGUAGAGGUGAAAUUCGUAGAUAUCGGGAGGAACACCGGUGGCGAAGGCGGCGACCUGGGUUGACAUUGACGCUGAGGCGCGAAAGCGUGGGGAGCAAACAGG